GUGAAUCAUCAAAUCUUUGAACGCAAACUGCACUCUCUGGUAUUCCGGAGAGUAUGCCUGUUUGAGGGUCAGUAUUAACAAAAAAUCGGUUUGGUUGCAAAUUGUGACGUUUCCGGAGUUUGGGCUAUCUUAACUUUUUUGGUUAAGGGGCUUAAAAUUGACCUUAUUUGCGCAUUUUUAGACGUACAUAAAUUUUUUUUUUUUUCCUUUUUUUUUUAUUCCCAAAUUCUAUUUGAUUCCAUU
rnacentral:misc_RNA from 1 species